rfam:Astyanax mexicanus Tnplaced_Scaffold3004, whole genome shotgun sequence.
UACUUGAAUAUUGUAAGUCGCUUUGGAAAAAAGCGUCUGCUAAAUGUAAUGUA